CUGCCCGUAGCUCAGUUGGAUAGAGCAACAGCCUUCUAAGCUGUGGGUCACUGGUUCGAUUCCAGUCGGGCAGGCCA
rnacentral:tRNA from 1 species